AAAGAGUUAAUUAAUUAUAAAAGUUAUUGUAGUAAAACUAUUUUUAAUAAUUAAUUAGAAAUGAAAUGUUAAUCGUUUUUAAAGAUAUCUAGUUUUUUCAGAAAAAAAUUUAAUUUUAAAUUUUUUUUAAAAAAAAAAUUAAAUAAUUAAUUUUUUUUUAAAAAAAUUUUAUAUUUUAAGGGAUAAGCUUUAAAUUAAAAAUUUAUAAUGAAAAUAGUUAUUUAUUUGAGAAUUAUAUGAUUUAAAUUAUCAAUAAAAUUUAGUUUAUUAUAAAUAAUUUCAUUUAAAUAAAAAUUUAAUUUUAGUUUAAUUUUUUAUGAAAAAAAAAUUUAUAAUUAAAAAAAAAUUGGCUAUAAUGAUAAAAUUAGUAUAAUAAUUAUUUGAAUAAAAUUUUACUUAAAUAAAACUUAAGUAAUAAAAAGGAAUUCGGCAAAUAUUUAUAUUCACUUGUUUAUCAAAAACAUGUCUUUUAGAAAUUAAUUUAAAGUCUAAUCUGCCCACUGAUAAAUUAUUAAAGGGCUGCAGUAUUUUGACUGUCAAAGGUAGCAUAAUCAUUAGUCAUUUAAUUGAUGACUUGUAUGAAAGAUUGAAUGAAAUAUAAUCUGUCUCUUUAUUAAUUUAUAGAAUUUAAUUUUUUAAUUAAAAAGUUAAAAUAUUAUAAAAAGACGAGAAGACCCUAUAGAGUUUAAUAAAUAAUUUUUUUUGAGAAUAUUUGUUAAUAAAAAAAUUUAAAUAAAAUUAUUUAUUUUGUUGGGGUGAUAAAAAAAUAUAAAAAACUUUUUAAAAUUAAAAACAUAAAUAAAUGAUUAAAUGAUCCAAUUUUAUUGAUUAAAAGAAAUAAUUACCUUAGGGAUAACAGCGUAAUUUUUUUUUUUAGUUCAAAUAAGAAAAAAAGUUUGCGACCUCGAUGUUGGAUUAAGAUAAAAUUUAAAUGCAAAAGUUUAAAAUUUUG
rnacentral:rRNA from 1 species